UACGGAGGGAGCUAGCGUUGUUCGGAAUUACUGGGCGUAAAGCGUGCGCAGGCGGCUUUGCAAGACAGAUGUGAAAUCCCCGGGCUUAACCUGGGAACUGCGUUUGUAACUGGCAAGCUAGAGUGUGGCAGAGGGGGGUGGAAUUCCAAGUGUAGCAGUGAAAUGCGUAGAUAUUUGGAGGAACACCAAUGGCGAAGGCAGCCCCCUGGGUUAACACUGACGCUCAUGCACGAAAGCGUGGGGAGCAAACAGG
rnacentral:rRNA from 1 species